UACGUAGGAGGCGAGCGUUGUUCGGAUUUACUGGGCGUAAAGGGCGCGUAGGCGGCCACCGCAAGUCGGUUGUGAAAUCUCCGGGCUUAACCCGGAAAGGUCAAUCGAUACUGCGGGGCUAGAGUGCAGAAGGGGCAACUGGAAUUCUCGGUGUAGCGGUGAAAUGCGUAGAUAUCGAGAGGAACACCCGCGGCGAAGGCGGGUUGCUGGGCUGACACUGACGCUGAAGCGCGAAAGCUAGGGGAGCGAACGGG
rnacentral:rRNA from 1 species